AGCGCCGGACAAAGUUGCCGACCUGGCGGCGGCCACGCGUUUGCGUGCGUGUGUAUGAGUGUGUGUGAGCGCGGCCGGAGAUGCGUGCGCGUGUGCGGGUGCUCCAGGGCAAUGGUCGAAAGGACUGUACAAUAUAAGAGCGAAUCCAAGCUCCAGUUGCUGUUAAAGGGGGACGGUGUGCUCUGGGACAGUGUCCCUGGGGCCCCUGGCUCGCGUCACACCCACAUCGGGUUGGGAAAGUUUCCUCUUUCCGCCGUUUGGAAUUCAGUGAGAUUCCCAGCCCAGAGGACUUGAUAAAUUGAAGCAGUUUCCUAGGCACAAUGAUGCUGUGGGCCAACUGAGCACACAUGGGAAUUCCUGGCCUUGUGACACUUUGCAUUAAAAAGAACCCCACGAUUGAAGAUAGGAGCAGAAGCACUAGAUACAGUAUUUGGUCUGAGCAACUGCCCUAUCUUCCCGCUUUGGUGGGCCGUGCAACACCUGGAGUGUCGUUUCUCGUCUUUCCCCUAAUCCAGACGCAUUCCAGGCUGGGCUGCAGGGAUCCAGGUGACAGUCAGGACUUGCAUCAUUUCCAGGAGGGUGGCAGGGAGGCCCAAGGCAGCCCUGAGUCAGCCCGCCGCGGAGCAUCGCGUGCCCGGAGGCCAGAGCUUGAAAGGCAACUUUACGCGUCUCCAAACACACUCCUGCAUUUUCUCAAAGCGCUGCUCGCCACCCCGCUCCGGGUUCCCUUUUACUCUCCAGUCAUCCGAUGGAAGUGGUGAGAACAAAAACAAAGACAAAAAAGCUAAAUCCGGGGAAGUUAUCUCCAUCUCCUCCCUUUUCUUGUUCGGCCCCCUCCCCAAGAACCGCCGGGUCGGGAUAGCCCCCGGCUACUUUCUCACCCGGCCCGUGGAGGGAAGGAGAAAGUUGGGCGCCGCUUGGAGCGCCUCUUCCCCUGCUGUGUGUGUACGUGUGCACGCUCACGUCUCCCCCGCGCCGGGGCCGGGGACAGGAACUGCUCUCGGUCCCGUCACCCCACGGCGCAGCUCGGGGGGCUCGCAGGGCUGGGGGAGGGCGGGGACACGAGCGCCGCGCCCAAGCGCCCCAGGGCACGCACCCGGCGUUGGCGCGCACUCGCCCCUCCCCCCGUCCCCACCCUCCUCCUGGAGAACAGAGAAAAGAAGAUGACCAUCUUCUCCUGAACAAAAUUAUGAACUGUCAGAGGUUUCAAAGGUAAUAAGUUUUAUGAUGCAAGUGGAAGAAGAACCAGAAGUAAUGAUGAGCUAGAACUUAUCAGAGAUUUCCUUGAAAUCAGGACUUGGUGUUUAUAAGAUGGGUCUGUCCCAGGCUUAUGCAUGACAGCUGGUGAGCAGUUAGUUGCAUGCAGAGGACAUUGCUCAUUUUGGGCCUAUCUACACUCAAAACCAGGAAAAUAUGCUGUGAAAAUUUGCUAUUACUAACGUCUCUAAUAAAGUUUUAAAAAACGA